rnacentral:rRNA from 1 species
AUUGAACGCUGGCGGCAUGCCUUACACAUGCAAGUCGAACGGCAGCACGGGAGCAAUCCUGUUGGCGAGUGGCGAACGGGUGAGUAAUGUAUCGGGACGUGCCCAGUGGUGGGGGAUAACGUAGCGAAAGCUACGCUAAUACCGCAUACGGUCUGUGGAUGAAAGCGGGGGACCGUAAGGCCUCGCGCGAUAGGAGCGGCUGAUAUCAGAUUAGGUAGUUGGUGGGGUAAAGGCCUACCAAGCCGACGAUCUGUAGCUGGUCUGAGAGGACGACCAGCCACACUGGGACUGAGACACGGCCCAGACUCCUACGGGAGGCAGCAGUGGGGAAUUUUGGACAAUGGGCGCAAGCCUGAUCCAGCAAUGCCGCGUGCAGGAUGAAGGCCUUCGGGUUGUAAACUGCUUUUGUACGGAGCGAAAAGGCUCUCUCUAAUACAGGGGGCUCAUGACGGUACCGUAAGAAUAAGCACCGGCUAACUACGUGCCAGCCGCCGCAGUAA